rnacentral:rRNA from 1 species
AGUGAACGCUGGCGGUAGGCCUAACACAUGCAAGUCGAACGGCAGCACAGUAAGCGCUUGCUAUUACGGUUGGCGAGUGGCGGACGGGUAAGGAAUACAUCGGCAUCUACUUUUUCGUGGGGGAUAACGUAGGGAAACUUACGCUAACACCGCAUACGACCUACGGGUGAAAGCAAGUGUUCUUCGGACCUUUCCCUAUUGAAUGGACCGUUGUCGGAUUAGCUAGUUGGCAGGGUAAGGGCCCACCAAGGCAACGAUCCGUAGCUAGCCGGAGAGGUGGACCAGCAACACUGGAACGGAGACACGCUCAAACUGCCUACGGAAGGAACCAGUGGGAAAUAUUGGACAUUGGGGGAAGUCCUGACCCACCAAUCCCGCGUGGUGGAAGAAGGCCUUGGGGUGUAAAAGUCCGUUUGUAGGGAAAGAAAAGCAUGAGGGUAAAACCCCGAUGAUCUGACGGUACCUAAAGAAUAAGCAACGGCUAACUUCGUG